UUAGAGAUGAGGGUCUCAUCCUUUUGCCCAGGCUGGAGUACAGUGGUGUGUAUGUAGCACACUGCAGCCUUCAACUCCUGAUCCUCCAACCUCAGCCUCCACAGUUGCUGGGAUUACAAGUGCAAGUUGGUGUGUAUCUGCAAAGGCGAUGGAAAGGAGUUCUUACAUAUGCAUAUUCUGAAGAAGGAUGUUACCCUUACUGAAAAACUUAUUCCAAGAUAUGUUUAAUCAAUCAUGAGA
rnacentral:lncRNA from 1 species